rnacentral:rRNA from 1 species
GAUGAACGCUAGCUACAGGCUUAACACAUGCAAGUCGAGGGGAAACGAUAGAGAAAGCUUGCUUUUUCUAGGCGUCGACCGGCGCACGGGUGAGUAACGCGUAUCCAACCUGCCCAUCACUUGGGGAUAACCUUGCGAAAGUAAGACUAAUACCCAAUGAUAUCUCUAGAAGACAUCUGAAAGGGAUUAAAGAUUUAUCGGUGAUGGAUGGGGAUGCGUCUGAUUAGCUUGUUGGCGGGGUAACGGCCCACCAAGGCGACGAUCAGUAGGGGUUCUGAGAGGAAGAUCCCCCACAUUGGAACUGAGACACGGUCCAAACUCCUACGGGAGGCAGCAGUGAGGAAUAUUGGUCAAUGGGCGAGAGCCUGAUCCAGCCAAGUAGCGUGCAGGAUGACGGCCCUAUGGGUUGUAAACUGCUUUUAUAAGGGAAUAAAGUGAGUCUCGUGAGACUUUUUGCAUGUACCUUAUGAAUAAGGACCGGCUAACUUCGUGCCAGCCGCCGCCGUAA